ensembl:rRNA 5S_rRNA 5S ribosomal RNA
GCAAGUGGCCAUGCAACCCCAAACGUGCUCCAUCUCGUCUGAUCCCAGAAGCUAAGCAGGGUUGGGCCUGGUUAGUACUUGGAUGGGAGGGGAAGAAGCAAAACACACUGAGAGAAGCACCUGAGCCACCUCCU